rnacentral:rRNA from 1 species
UAGCUACAGGCUUAACACAUGCAAGUCGAGGGGCAGCAUGGUCUUAGCUUGCUAAGGCCGAUGGCGACCGGCGCACGGGUGAGUAACACGUAUCCAACCUGCCGUCUACUCUUGGACAGCCUUCUGAAAGGAAGAUUAAUACAAGAUGGCAUCAUGAGUCCGCAUGUUUACAUGAUUAAAGGUAUUCCGGUAGACGAUGGGGAUGCGUUCCAUUAGAUAGUAGGCGGGGUAACGGCCCACCUAGUCUUCGAUGGAUAGGGGUUCUGAGAGGAAGGUCCCCCACAUUGGAACUGAGACACGGUCCAAACUCCUACGGGAGGCAGCAGUGAGGAAUAUUGGUCAAUGGGCGAGAGCCUGAACCAGCCAAGUAGCGUGAAGGAUGACUGCCCUAUGGGUUGUAAACUUCUUUUAUAAAGGAAUAAAGUCGGGUAUGGAUACCCGUUUGCAUGUACUUUAUGAAUAAGGAUCGGCUAACUCCGUGCCAGCAGCCGCGGUAAUACGGAGGAUCCGAGCGUUAUCCGGAUUUAUUGGGUUUAAAGGGAGCGUAGAUGGAUGUUUAAGUCAGUUGUGAAAGUUUGCGGCUCAACCGUAAAAUUGCAGUUGAUACUGGAUAUCUUGAGUGCAGUUGAGGCAGGCGGAAUUCGUGGUGUAGCGGUGAAAUGCUUAGAUAUCACGAAGAACUCCGAUUGCGAAGGCAGCCUGCUAAGCUGCAACUGACAUUGAGGCUCGAAAGUGUGGGUAUCAAACAGGAUUAGAUACCCUGGUAGUCCACACGGUAAACGAUGAAUACUCGCUGUUUGCGAUAUACUGCAAGCGGCCAAGCGAAAGCGUUAAGUAUUCCACCUGGGGAGUACGCCGGCAACGGUGAAACUCAAAGGAAUUGACGGGGGCCCGCACAAGCGGAGGAACAUGUGGUUUAAUUCGAUGAUACGCGAGGAACCUUACCCGGGCUUAAAUUGCAGAUGAAUUACGGUGAAAGCCGUAAGCCGCAAGGCAUCUGUGAAGGUGCUGCAUGGUUGUCGUCAGCUCGUGCCGUGAGGUGUCGGCUUAAGUGCCAUAACGAGCGCAACCCUUGUUGUCAGUUACUAACAGGUUCCGCUGAGGACUCUGACAAGACUGCCAUCGUAAGAUGUGAGGAAGGUGGGGAUGACGUCAAAUCAGCACGGCCCUUACGUCCGGGGCUACACACGUGUUACAAUGGGGGGUACAGAGGGCCGCUACCACGCGAGUGGAUGCCAAUCCCCAAAACCUCUCUCAGUUCGGACUGGAGUCUGCAACCCGACUCCACGAAGCUGGAUUCGCUAGUAAUCGCGCAUCAGCCACGGCGCGGUGAAUACGUUCCCGGGCCUUGUACACACCGCCCGUCAAGCCAUGGGAGCCGGGGGUACCUGAAGUGCGUAACCGCGAGGAGCGCCCUAGGGUAAAACUGGUGACUGGGGCU